rnacentral:rRNA from 1 species
UACAGAGGCCUCGAGCGUUAGGCGGAAUCACUGGGCUUAAAGCGUGUGUGGGCGGACUUCUAAGUACCUUGUGAAAUCCCACGGCUUACCCGUGGAACGGCUGGGUAUACUGGGAGUCUUGAGCCACCUAGGGGCGAGUGGGACAAAUGGUGGAGCGGUGAAAUGCGUAGAUAUCAUUUGGAACGCCAAUGGUGAAAACAACUCGCUGGGGGUGUGCUGACGCUGAGACACGAAAGCCAGGGGAGCGAACGGG